rnacentral:rRNA from 1 species
AGUGAACGCUGGCGGCAGGCCUAACACAUGCAAGUCGAGCGGCAGCGGGUCCUUCGGGAUGCCGGCGAGCGGCGGACGGGUGAGGAAUACAUCGGAAUCUGCCCUGUCGUGGGGGAUAACCUAGGGAAACUUAGGCUAAUACCGCAUACGACCUACGGGUGAAAGCGGGGGAUCGCAAGACCUCGCGCGACAGGAUGAGCCGAUGUCCGAUUAGCUAGUUGGCGGGGUAAAGGCCCACCAAGGCGACGAUCGGUAGCUGGUCUGAGAGGAUGAUCAGCCACACUGGGACUGAGACACGGCCCAGACUCCUACGGGUGGCAGCAGUGGGGAAUAUUGGACAAUGGGCGCAAGCCUGAUCCAGCCAUGCCGCGUGGGUGAAGAAGGCCUUCGGGUUGUAAAGCCCUUUUGUCCGGGAAGAAAUCGUCUGGGCUAAUACCCCGGGCGGAUGACGGUACCGGAAGAAUAAGCACCGGCUAACUUCGUG